rnacentral:rRNA from 1 species
UACGGGGGAUGCAAGCGUUAUCCGGAAUCAUUGGGCGUAAAGCGCCUGUAGGUUGUUUAAUAAGUCUGUUGUUAAAGACUAGGGCUUAACCCUAGGAAAGCAAUGGAAACUACUAGACUAGAGUAUGGUAGGGGUAGAGGGAAUUUCUAGUGUAGCGGUGAAAUGCGUAGAUAUUAGAAAGAACACCGGUGGCGAAAGCGCUCUACUGGACCAUUACUGACACUCAGAGGCGAAAGCUAGGGUAGCAAAAGGGAUUAGAUACCCCUGUAGUCCUAGCCGUAAACGAUGGAUACUAGAUGUUGUGCCUAGUGGACAGUAUCGUAGCUAACGCGUUAAGUAUCCCGCCUGGGGAGUACGCUCGCAAGGGUG